GGCCUCCUGGUGCUUAUUAUGGGCUGUGUUCUUACACUGACUGCGUAGAAAGAGGAGGAAGCAAAGUAAAUCUAUCCCAUAAUCACCUCAGCCCAGGCCCUGUGCCUGGUUGGUAUUGUGAAUGAGGAGGCAUGA
rnacentral:snoRNA from 1 species